GCCACGGCGCCUGGCGGGGAUCCUGCCUUUCUUUGGAAGUAUUGUGAUAGCAACCACGCACGUUGUGCUCUGUCCUUGGUCCUGAAGAGACCAGCGUGCGUUUCUUGAGACCAGGGACACUGGUUAGUGACUCUUCUCUCGGUAACUCUGAACCAGGUGAGAAUUGCCAUUUUUAACCUUGAGAUAUAGCAGUACUGUUUGCAUCUUGCAACCCUCCUCUCCUUGGGCUGCUGGCUGUACUCACUCUCCAGGGAUUGUAGUUAUAGCUCCUGACUCCACAUAGCAAGCCUGCAGGGCACACCUACCAGCCUUGACCCCACCACAC
rnacentral:lncRNA from 10 species